rnacentral:rRNA from 1 species
GAUGAACGCUGGCGGCGUGCUUAAUACAUGCAAGUCGAACGAUGAAGCCCAGCUCGCUGGGCGGAUUAGUGGCGAACGGGCGAGUAACACGUGAGUAACUAGCCUUUGACUAUGGGUUAAGUCUGGGAAACUGGGCCUAAUACUGGAUAUGUCUUCUCAUCGCACGGAUGGGGGUGGAAAGAUUUACUGGUCUUGGAUGGACUCGCGGUCUAUCCGCUUGUUGGUGAGGUAAUGGCACACUAAGGCGACGCCGGGUAGCCGGCCUGUGAGGGUGACCAGCCACAAGGGGACUGAGACACGGCCCAGACGCGUACGGGAGGCAGCAGGGGAGAGUAUGGCGCAGUGGGCGCGAGCCUGAUGCGGCGACGCCGCGUUAGUGAUGACGGCCUUCGAGUUGUAAACCUCUUUCAGUAGGGAAGAAGCGGGAGUGACGGUACCUGCAGAGAAAGCGCCGGCUAACUACGUG